AUGGGACGGGGUGACAGGUUAAAGAAGUACGGAUCAAGAGAUGUUGAAGGCUCGACGAGCGGUAGCAGGAACAGCAAAGGCGGCUCAACUCCUCCACCACCUCCAAGCAAGACGGGAAACCAUUCCAAGGGCGCGGAGUACACACGCCGGUCACCACCGUUGCCUAGCGCCCCGCUGCUUGUACUGAAGUCGCAUAGCAGAGUGCCACGGACUACGCGUAGCUACCCGAACCACAACUCAAAGAAUUCUGACCAGACAUCCAUCUCUCUCGAUGCCGAUGCUCCACCACUAGGGAACCUCGAGGACAAACUUGAGGACGUGUUGUCGUUCGUGCCUAUGAGCCGCGGUAUGGAGCAACUCUUAGACGAGGUGAUGGAAAACAUGGACCAAGAUGAGCCGGCCUCAAAAUCUACACCUCCGGCCAAGUCUAGUUCGGUGGUGAAGCACACGCCCCCGGCGGUGAGUGAUCCAGCUGCGAAUUCUUCAAUUGUGGCAGGGAGCGAUCUCGUCGUAAAACCCGCCUCCCUGGUGACAAAGCCCGCUUCUUUAACCACAUCAACAAGCACCCCCGAAGUGGACAAAAAGCGGUCAUCGGGUGCUAUCAGUGACAAGGACGUUGGGAUAACUGCAAAUAAACCAAGGCCGCCUGCUUGCGAUGUUUCCAGCAAAUCAACUAAUCUAGAAGGCUUUUAUUCCCCUGAGGCAAAGGAGCUCCGUGUAUUAAUUGAGCAACACCAAAAUAUUCUUGCUAGAGAAAACACUCUGCUCGAGAAGCUCAAAGUCCCUCCGACUAAUAACAUCUCAACACCAAGCCUUGUUCUCCCGCCCGGAAUAGCAGCAAAGUACAUCUCAAUAGGACUCGAGGAUAUACAAGAGGCACUAAGGGAGCAGCCGAUCAAUGAGGAGCUAACCAUAACUAAAAUCGAGUCUGUGAUAAGUAUGUGGAAGAUCCCGUAUGUGAACGAGGUCCUGCCAGACCUUGAGAUUCUGAUUCGACACCUUGAAGCAGUGGUGGCUUGUCUGGGCGGAAAAGGUGGUCUUGCCACUUCCCACACAUCGGCACCCGCACCGGCGCAAGUGUCAUCUCUGUUGGAGAAACUCGAUGCAGCUCAUGCGGGGAUCACUCAAGGACUUUGCCGCCUCGAGAAGGAAGGGCCGCGCCUAGAGGGGCACCUUGCCGACCUCGCCUCCAUCUGCAACAGACAAAAGAAGUUGGCCGAAGAACAUCGGAUGCUUGCCGGCAAACAUCAGCAGCUUGCCGAGGAGUACAAGGCCCUCUGUGAGAAGGAAACCGAGAUGGCGGCACUGGCUGAAAAGCGCACGUGCGUCCUAGCUGACAUGAUGACUUCUAGCUCCCGCCAUCUUGAAGCUCAUGAGGAUGCAGUCCGGAGUUCGUCACAGGUGGCCGAGUCAUACACAAGACGCCGUGCGGAGGCGGCUGCCUUCCUGGCCGCCGGCGGAACGCUUCCGGAGAUCGCGACGAUCCUAGCAUAUAAAGCUCCUGAGUGA
rnacentral:rRNA from 1 species